rnacentral:rRNA from 3 species
UCAAGCUACAAAGGGCGCAUGGUGAAUGCCUUGGCAUCAGGAGCCGAUGAAGGACGUGAUAAGCUGCGAUAAGCUUCGGGUAGGCGCACAUAGCCUGAGAUCCGAAGAUCUCCGAAUGAGGAAACUCACAUGGGAAACCCCAUGUAUCAUUAAGUGAAUACAUAGCUUAAUGAAGGUAACCCAGGGAACUGAAACAUCUAAGUACCUGGAGGAAGAGAAAGAAAAAUCGAUUUUCUUAGUAGCGGCGAGCGAAAGGGAAAGAGCCCAAACCGGAAACUUGUUUCCGGGGUUGUGGACAUAACAUAAAAGUGGAGGCUAUUGUAACUGAAGAGAACUGGAAAGUUCCACCGUAGAAGGUAAUAGUCCUGUAAGUGAAACGAGAAGACCACGAGUUAUGAUCCAGAGUACCACGAGACACGUGAAACCUUGUGGGAAGCAGGGAGGACCACCUCCCAAGGCUAAAUACUACCUGAUGACCGAUAGUGAAGCAGUACCGUGAGGGAAAGGUGAAAAGAACCCCGGGAGGGGAGUGAAAUAGAACCUGAAACCGUGUGCCUACAACCGCUCAGAGCCCCUUAUGAGGGUGAUGAGGUGCUUUUUGUAGAACGAGCCAACGAGUUACGGUAUGUAGCAAGGUUAAGUACUUAAGGUACGGAGCCGAAGGGAAACCGAGUCUGAAUAGGGCGACUAGUUGCAUGCCGUAGACCCGAAACCGGGUGACCUAUCCAUGGCCAGGUUGAAGCGAGGGUAAAACCUCGUGGAGGACCGAACCACGUUGCUGUUGAAAAAGCAUGGGAUGAGCUGUGGAUAGCGGAGAAAUUCCAAUCGAACCCGGAGAUAGCUGGUUCUCUCCGAAAUAGCUUUAGGGCUAGCGUCGAGUAUGAGUAGUGGAGGUAGAGCACUGAAUGGGCUAGGGGGCAUAGCGCUUACCGAACCUUAUCAAACUCCGAAUGCCACAUACUUUGAGCUCGGCAGUCAGACUACGAAUGAUAAGAUCCGUGGUCAAAAGGGAAACAGCCCAGAUCGUCAGCUAAGGUCCCAAAGUGUAAGUUAAGUGGGAAAGGAUGUGAGAUUUCUAAGACAACUAGGAUGUUGGCUUAGAAGCAGCCAUUCAUUAAAAGAGUGCGUAAUAGCUCACUAGUCGAGAGAUCUUGCGCCGAAAAUGUAACGGGGCUAAACUUACCACCGAAGCUACGGGCUUGAACUUAGUUCAAGCGGUAGGAGAGCGUCGUAACCGGGCUGAAGUCGUACCGUAAGGAGCGGUGGACUGGUUACGAGUGAGAAUGUUGGCAUCAGUAGCGAGAUGUGGGUGAGAAUCCCACAGGCCGAAAACCUAAGGUUUCCUCAGGAAGGUUCGUCCGCUGAGGGUUAGUCGGGACCUAAGCCGAGGCCGAAAGGCGUAGGUGAUGGACAACUGGUUGAUAUUCCAGUACCACUACCAUCGUUAUUAUCGAUGGCGUGACGCAGGAGGAUAGUGUGUGCUAGCUAUUGGAUGCUAGUCUAAGCGUUUAGGCAGUGAGAGUAGGCAAAUCCGCUCUCAUAAUGCUGAGGCGUGAUGGGGAAGGUUCUACGGAACCGAAGUACAUGAUUCCACGCUGCCAAGAAAAGCGUCUAGAGAGAGAAGUAGUGCCCGUACCGCAAACCGACACAGGUAGGUGAGGAGAGAAUCCUAAGGCCGGCGGAAGAAUUACAGUUAAGGAACUCGGCAAAUUGACCCCGUAAGUUCGCGAGAAGGGGUGCCUACGAGAGUAGGCCGCAGAGAAUAGGCCCAAGCAACUGUUUAGCAAAAACACAGGUCUCUGCUAAAGCGUAAGCUGAUGUAUAGGGGCUGACGCCUGCCCGGUGCUGGAAGGUUAAGGGGAACACUUAGCGCAAGCGAAGGUGUGAACUUAAGCCCCAGUAAACGGCGGCCGUAACUAUAACGGUCCUAAGGUAGCGAAAUUCCUUGUCAGGUAAGUUCUGACCCGCACGAAUGGCGUAAUGACUUGGGCACUGUCUCAACUGUAAAUCCGGCGAAGUUGUAGUGCGAGUGAAGAUGCUCGCUACCCGCGAUUGGACGGAAAGACCCCGUAGAGCUUUACUGUAGCUUAGCAUUGAGUUUUGGUAUUGUCUGUACAGGAUAGGUGGGAGACUAGGAAACCAGGGCGUCAGCCUUGGUGGAGUCAACCUUGGGAUACCACCCUGACAGUACUGAAAUUCUAACUGGCGGCCAUGAAUCUGGUCACAGGACAUUGUUAGGUGGGCAGUUUGACUGGGGCGGUCGCCUCCUAAAAAGUAACGGAGGCGCCCAAAGGUUCCCUCAGAACGGUCGGAAAUCGUUCGAAGAGUGCAAAGGCAGAAGGGAGCCUGACUGCGACACCCACAAGUGGAGCAGGGACGAAAGUCGGGCUUAGUGAUCCGGUGGUACCUCGUGGGAGGGCCAUCGCUCAACGGAUAAAAGCUACCUCGGGGAUAACAGGCUGAUCUCCCCCAAGAGUCCACAUCGACGGGGAGGUUUGGCACCUCGAUGUCGGCUCGUCGCAUCCUGGGGCUGAAGUAGGUCCCAAGGGUUGGGCUGUUCGCCCAUUAAAGCGGCACGCGAGCUGGGUUCAGAACGUCGUGAGACAGUUCGGUCCCUAUCCGUCGCGGGCGUAGGAAAUUUGAGAGGAGCUGUCCUUAGUACGAGAGGACCGGGAUGGACUGACCUCUGGUGUACCAGUUGUUCCGCCAGGAGCACAGCUGGGUAGCUAAGUCGGGAAUGGAUAAACGCUGAAAGCAUCUAAGCGUGAAGCCAACCUCAAGAUGAGAUUUCCCAUAGCGUAAGCUAGUAAGAUCCCUUGAAGAACACAAGGUUGAUAGGUCGGGGGUGUAAGCAUGGUAACAUGUUCAGCUGACCGAUACUAAUAGAUCGAGGGCUUGACCAA